UCAGAUUCAAGAGGAAGGGGCAGAGGUGACCUCUCCGUGGGAGUAAGAGUUAAAGUAACUGUAAGAAGACCAAGUGGAUUGGGAGGUCUCUCAGAGCUGUAAAUCACACCACUAAAUCUGCCAUGAGCAACAGAGGCUGCUGGAAGGAAGAGAAAGAAAGUGUGGUGUUGACUCUCAGUUUCUGGUACACGCUGGGUGUGCUGGAGCUGCCAGGAGCCUCUCCUGAGCCUCAUCUCUAUUCCAGCCAUGAUCUGUUGGCCCUUCUACUGGCAA